GAUUAAGUUAUUAAGGGCGCACGGUGGAUGCCUUGGCACUAGAAGCCGAUGAAGGACGUUACUAACGACGAUAUGCUUUGGGGAGCUGUAAGUAAGCUUUGAUCCAGAGAUUUCCGAAUGGGGAAACCCAGCAUGAGUUAUGUCAUGUUAUCGAUAUGUGAAUACAUAGCAUAUCAGAAGGCACACCCGGAGAACUGAAACAUCUUAGUACCCGGAGGAAGAGAAAGAAAAUUCGAUUCCCUUAGUAGCGGCGAGCGAAACGGGAAGAGCCCAAACCAACAAGCUUGCUUGUUGGGGUUGUAGGACACUCUAUACGGAGUUACAAAGGACGACAUUAGACGAAUCAUCUGGAAAGAUGAAUCAAAGAAGGUAAUAAUCCUGUAGUCGAAAAUGUUGUCUCUCUUGAGUGGAUCCUGAGUACGACGGAGCACGUGAAAUUCCGUCGGAAUCUGGGAGGACCAUCUCCUAAGGCUAAAUACUCUCUAGUGACCGAUAGUGAACCAGUACCGUGAGGGAAAGGUGAAAAGCACCCCGGAAGGGGAGUGAAAUAGAACCUGAAACCGUGUGCUUACAAGUAGUCAGAGCCCGUUAAUGGGUGAUGGCGUGCCUUUUGUAGAAUGAACCGGCGAGUUACGAUUUGAUGCAAGGUUAAGCAGUAAAUGUGGAGCCGUAGCGAAAGCGAGUCUGAAUAGGGCGUUUAGUAUUUGGUCGUAGACCCGAAACCAGGUGAUCUACCCUUGGUCAGGUUGAAGUUCAGGUAACACUGAAUGGAGGACCGAACCGACUUACGUUGAAAAGUGCGGGGAUGAGGUGUGGGUAGCGGAGAAAUUCCAAUCGAACCUGGAGAUAGCUGGUUCUCUCCGAAAUAGCUUUAGGGCUAGCCUCAAGUGAUGAUUAUUGGAGGUAGAGCACUGUUUGGACGAGGGGCCCCUCUCGGGUUACCGAAUUCAGACAAACUCCGAAUGCCAAUUAAUUUAACUUGGGAGUCAGAACAUGGGUGAUAAGGUCCGUGUUCGAAAGGGAAACAGCCCAGACCGCCAGCUAAGGUCCCAAAGUGUGUAUUAAGUGGAAAAGGAUGUGGAGUUGCUUAGACAACUAGGAUGUUGGCUUAGAAGCAGCCACCAUUUAAAGAGUGCGUAAUAGCUCACUAGUCGAGUGGGACGCAGUAGGAUAGGCGAAGCGUGCGAUUGGAUUGCACGUCUAAGCAGUAAGGCUGAGUAUUAGGCAAAUCCGGUACUCGUUAAGGCUGAGCUGUGAUGGGGAGAAGACAUUGAGUCUUCGAGUCGUUGAUUUCACACUGCCGAGAAAAGCCUCUAGAUAGAAAAUAGGUGCCCGUACCGCAAACCGACACAGGUAGUCAAGAUGAGAAUUCUAAGGUGAGCGAGCGAACUCUCGUUAAGGAACUCGGCAAAAUGACCCCGUAACUUCGGGAGAAGGGGUGCUCUUUAGGGUUAACGCCCAGAAGAGCCGCAGUGAAUAGGCCCAAGCGACUGUUUAUCAAAAACACAGGUCUCUGCUAAACCGUAAGGUGAUGUAUAGGGGCUGACGCCUGCCCGGUGCUGGAAGGUUAAGAGGAGUGGUUAGCUUCUGCGAAGCUACGAAUCGAAGCCCCAGUAAACGGCGGCCGUAACUAUAACGGUCCUAAGGUAGCGAAAUUCCUUGUCGGGUAAGUUCCGACCCGCACGAAAGGCGUAACGAUUUGGGCACUGUCUCAACGAGAGACUCGGUGAAAUCAUAGUACCUGUGAAGAUGCAGGUUACCCGCGACAGGACGGAAAGACCCCGUGGAGCUUUACUGUAGCCUGAUAUUGAAAUUCGGUACAACUUGUACAGGAUAGGUAGGAGCCUUUGAAACGUGAGCGCUAGCUUACGUGGAGGCGCUGGUGGGAUACUACCCUAGCUGUGUUGGCUUUCUAACCCGCACCACUUAUCGUGGUGGGAGACAGUGUCAGGCGGGCAGUUUGACUGGGGCGGUCGCCUCCUAAAAGGUAACGGAGGCGCUCAAAGGUUCUCUCAGAACGGUUGGAAAUCAUUCGUAGAGUGUAAAGGCAUAAGGGAGCUUGACUGCGAGACCUACAAGUCGAGCAGGGUCGAAAGACGGACUUAGUGAUCCGGUGGUUCCGCAUGGAAGGGCCAUCGCUCAACGGAUAAAAGCUACCCCGGGGAUAACAGGCUUAUCUCCCCCAAGAGUCCACAUCGACGGGGAGGUUUGGCACCUCGAUGUCGGCUCAUCGCAUCCUGGGGCUGUAGUCGGUCCCAAGGGUUGGGCUGUUCGCCCAUUAAAGCGGUACGCGAGCUGGGUUCAGAACGUCGUGAGACAGUUCGGUCCCUAUCCGUCGUGGGCGUAGGAAAUUUGAGAGGAGCUGUCCUUAGUACGAGAGGACCGGGAUGGACAUACCUCUGGUGUACCAGUUGUUCUGCCAACGGCAUAGCUGGGUAGCUAUGUGUGGACGGGAUAAGUGCUGAAAGCAUCUAAGCAUGAAGCCCCCCUCAAGAUGAGAUUUCCCAGCGUAAGCUAUAAGAUCCCUGAAAGAUGAUCAGGUUGAUAGGUUCGAGGUGGAAGCAUGGUGACAUGUGGAGCUGACGAAUACUAAUAGAUCGAAGACUUAAUCAA
rnacentral:rRNA from 1 species